UUAAGCAAUGUGACAGCAACGUGCCCUGGUGUGUUUUCUAUGUUCCCUGUGCCUGUGGCUCUUGGAUCUCUGUAUCAAGCAAGAGGAUAGAGUCAAUCCUUGUUACUCCAUGUUGGCUGGAAACGGAAGUUUGCUAAUUCAAUUUCCUUUGGGGUUUAUAUCUGCUGGAGAGAUGGGCGCCUGGGUGGCACAGCAGUUAAGCAUCUGCCUUCAGCUCAGGACGUGAUCCCGG